rnacentral:rRNA from 1 species
CAGUAGCCGCGGGAAUGCGUAGGUGGCAAGCGUUGUCCGGAAUUAUUGGGCGUAAAGCGCGCGCAGGCGGAUCAGUUAGUCUGUCUUAAAAGUUCGGGGCUUAACCCCGUGAUGGGAUGGAAACUGCUGAUCUAGAGUAUCGGAGAGGAAAGUGGAAUUCCUAGUGUAGCGGUGAAAUGCGUAGAUAUUAGGAAGAACACCAGUGGCGAAGGCGACUUUCUGGACGAAAACUGACGCUGAGGCGCGAAAACGUGGGGAGCAAACAGGAUUAGAUACCCGCGUAGUCCCUGUCUCUUAUACA